AUGGAUGCGGUUCUGUCUGCGGCUGCAGGUGAUCUUGUUAGCAGAUUUUUCUCCUUUUUGGUAAACAUGUAUUGGGACCCUGCACGCCUGGAGGAGCAGCAUAUGGAGAGGCUGCAGCAACUCCUGCUAAGAGCUCACACAGUUGUCGAGGAGGCGGAUGGGCGGUACAUCACCAACUCUGAUAUGCUUAUACAACUUAAGAUGCUAGCUAGGGCUAUGUACCAGGGUUAUCACGUGCUAGACACCUUCAAGUGCAACCAACUAGUCAAAGAGAGCUCUGAGGAAGUGAUGGAUGGAUCAUUAGUGUCAUAUAUUGGCACUCCGCUGAAGCGCUUUCGUGCCAACGCUGGUGUAUCGAAUCACAAAGUUGACAGCAGUCGUGACCUACAAGGUGCCUUGUUAAAUUUAGAAACCGCCGUUUCUAAUAUCACUGAGUUUGUUAUACUUUUGAGCGGAUGCGAGCGAAUGGUUCGCAGACCCUAUGACACCUAUCUUUAUGUUGACAACUUCAUGUUUAGCCGUCGAACUGAGAAGCAACAAGUUAUCAAUUUCUUGUUACAGCAUAACCCUCUUGGUUCUCCACCGGUGCUUCCAAUUAUUGGUGGAAGCCUAGUUGGGAAGAAAACUCUGGUAACACAUAUAUGGAAUGAUGAGAAGGUGCGUAGUUACUUCUCUUCUGUUCUGUACCUCAAUGGAGCCAACUUCACUAAAAUAGACACUGAAAGGUGCACAUCAGGGAGAAGAUUGGUUGUUGUCACAUUUGUUUCAGAUGUAGAUGAUGAGGAUUGGAAAUCUUUCUACCAAGCGAUGACAUCCAUAAGAGUAGAAAGUAAGGUUAUAAUCAUAAGUAGGAUGGAAAGUUUGACAAGAUAUGGUACUGUCAAGCCAAUUCACCUAAGUAAAUUACAACAUGAGGAAUACAGCUACUUCUUCAAGACACUAGCAUUUGGCAGUGCACAAACAAAGGACCACCCAAAUCUAACACUGCUGAUAGGAGAGUUCAACAAGUUAUUGGGUGGGUCAUUUGUGGGAGCAUAUUCAAUUGCCAAUAUAUUGAGGAGGGAUCUGAGCCUUCAAUUCUGGCUUUGCAUAUUGAACAGAUACAAGAAUGUGACAAAGACCAACUUAUCAAUGUUUGGUGAGCAUCUGUCGCUCCGUGUUAGAAUCCGAUAUCCAGUGGACUUCACCAACUUUCUACCUGCGCCCGCUGCUCCGCUACUCCUUAUGCCUCCUCGAACUGAAGCCGAGGUUUUCGAAAAGAAACUACCCAAGCUAAGGAUUGGAGACCUCGUUGUGGAUCCUACCCUUCGUCCAAAGGGUGAGUUCGAUUUAGUGACAUGGGAAUCACAGAUACCCCCUUAUACUGAGUUCAUUUACCAUGUCCCAUAUUGUGCUCAAAAGCAGCCUAAAACAACCUUACGGAGGAAGCGUGAUGCAACUAUUUGUCUCUAG
rnacentral:rRNA from 1 species